GCCGCGGUAGCUCAGCCUGGCUAGAGCGCGGGACUGUGGGGAGAUCCCGAGGUCCCGGGUUCAAAUCCCGGCCGCGGCC
rnacentral:tRNA from 1 species